GUCAACGUGUUUGGCUAAGAUUUUCUGUAUGCUAAUAAACAGGCUAAAACAAUACUGGCUGGAGAAAUGGAAGUGGUAAAGGCAGGAAUGGGCCACGGUGACCUGAGCAUGGAAGCGUACAGCCAGGUGUGGGAGGAGUGUUAUGGUCAGGUGUUGUAUCUCCCUGGUCAAAACAGGUACACCAGAGCGAAUUUAGCAUCGAAGAAGGACAGAAUUGAUAGUCUGGAGAAGAAACUGGAGGUACGGGAAAAACACUUGAGGUGCAACACAAGUGUAGA